AAACAAGACAAUAGCUCCUUUACAGGUGGAGAAGAGAAGGCAUGGCACAUAGUAAAGAAACAAUGUUAGAAUUGACAACAUGUAGGCACCUGGGUGGCUCAGUCAGUUAAGUGUCUCCCUUAGGCUCAGGCCAUGAUCCCAGGAUGCUGGGAUCGAGCCUCAUGAUGGGCUCCCUACUCAGUGGGGAGCCUGCUUCUCCUCCCCCCUCUGCCCUUUCCCCUGCUUGCGCACACUCUCUGUCAAAUAAAUAAAAUCUUAAAAAAAAAAAAAAAAAAAAAGAAUGGACAAAAUGCAAUAGUAGUUAAAAUAUAUAUUUUUCUGAUUUUAACAUCCCUGAAAUCAGGAUGCAUCCUACACUUGAUAACGACAACAAAUUACUAUGUUGGUUUAAUUGGCAGUAUUUUUUCUUUCUUUGCAGUACUUGAUACAUCUUAAUGGUCUCAGUAUCAGUGAAAAUAUGGUGUUAUCUUACUGAAUCUUAGAGAAUUCGGUUUAAAAAAUGUUGACAGGCACAUGCCACAACUUGCUCUACAACUGUUGGCAAAUUACUUCACCUCUCCUAUCAGCUGCCUCCUUUACAAAAAUAGGGACACACAGUAGGCAUGCAAAUUCAGUUCUCUCCUCCCUCAGCCAGGCAGAGCUGCCUACUUUCUCUGUCACUUCUUCCUUCUUUCACAAAGUGGGGUCACAAAAUCAAUGAAUGGGAAUAGACGGAGGGAAAAUUUAAAUGACUACUUAACAGUGACACUGCCAGGAAACAGCAGCUUGUUUAGGCUCACACAAAACACAAAAAGACAUCAAGAAGAGGGAACCCAUAUUUUGCUUUAUGGAUUCUAAUUCUGAUAUGAUCUUUGGACAAAGCCUUGAGGGGCAGAGCUUCAGGGUUUGAGACUAGGCAGGGAGUACUUAAGUUUCAAAAACCUGAGCAAAACAUUUCCACUACCACACCACCUCUAUCCCCCUAUUCACAUGGUACAGAACUCUGCAUAUGUGCAGGCAAGAAAGUUUUUCGGUCCCAACUCUCAGGCUGCUGUUCCUGAAACAAAACACGGUCUGAAUCUGUUUCAUUCUUAGUGGCCAGAGAGCCCUAGCAGCUUCUGAUGCAUCCUUACCCUCAUUCUUAGCUUGGGGCAGGGAGUGGGAAGUGAUAGGAGAGAAAGCAAGAGGGACAAACACCAAGGCUUCUUGAAUAGCUGCCAUAUUCCUAGGUAAGAGGGGGUGAGAGUGUUCCCUCUGCAGUGACAGUCAUUGCCAGGAGCACCCUGGAGGAAGAUGGAGAGAGCAAAGGAUGUUGAUGGCAGGGGAAAUGGCAUGUGGGGCGCAGCCUCGAAAGCCUUUGAAGAACUACAUGUGGCUGGCAUGGCAGCUAGAAUGGCUAGCCUCAUUUCCACUUGAGAGCCUGCAGUAUAAGCACAGGGUAAAGAUGUGAUUCAGAGAUACCCACAUGUGGGAUCAAAUUCUAGCCCCAUCGCUUACCACUAGCCUUUAGUGGUGCCAAAAUAACCCAGUCAGCUAGUCCUUAUUAUUGAGUAGCUACUACAUGCCAAAGAUUAUAUUAAUCACCUUUAAGUAAUACCUACUUCAAAAGGUAGUAGAUGGGGAUCCCUGGGUGGCGCAGCGGUUUGGCGCCUGCCUUUGGCCCAGGGCGCGAUCCUGGAGACCCAGGAUCGAGUCCCACAUCGGGCUCCCGGUGCAUGGAGCCUGCUUCUCCCUCUGCCUGUGUCUCUGCCUCUCUCUCUCUCACUGUGUGCCUAUCAUAAAUAAAUUUAAAAAAAUUAAAAAAAAAAAAAA
rnacentral:lncRNA from 1 species